rnacentral:lncRNA from 1 species
GGCAAUAGAGCGGUUAAUUCCGUAGGCGAAUCCAUACGACGGUAAUUGAAAUGAUGGUGUUGCUGUAUGGCCGGCUGGCUUCCAUGGAAUACGGAUUGUUAAUAUGUCGUUCCUUAUUAGUAAAAUAUAUAUUUAUACGAUUAAGUGGCGGGAACGCCGAAUAGCUUUUGACGGCUAUUUCUCAGUAGGAAAGGAAAACGAUAAAAACUUUCCUGCACCAGCUUUCUGCCAAAUUGCAAAUCUGAGGGGUCGGCACCUAUCCGUUGUUUCAAGACGCAGACCGCUACAGCAAUCUGUGAGCGGUCGUUUCACUUGUCGUCGCAGGCGGAUGGUUAUUUUGCUGCCACGAUUUCACUAAGGCCGAUCAGUAUCUACAUGGUCAGGUCAGGGCGAUGAAGCAGUAGAGUGUUGCUGGGACGGAGAGGAAUUAGUGGGGAAACAUUUUGAUAGGACUACUAAGGAGGAUAACGAAGAUAUAUUUGUACUAUCUAUGGAAUAUAAUGUGGGUCAAAGAGAUUUCAGUAAGGUAGAUUUUCAGCAAGGCAAGUAGGUGUGAAAGGACUGGAUUACUUUAUAGAUAUUGUAAUUUUGCAAUGUGACAAAAGCCUCCCUAUCCUACUGAAAUUAGCAGGUAUAUGGGUGUUGCCUAUAUCAACACUACAGGAUGUACCUGUGAUCUCUACAUACUGUUCCAUUCUAUGCUAUAGCUGCAAACAGCAAUUCCAACCCGUAUACAAGUGGGAAACAUAUGUAGUCGUUAGCACAGUCAUAGAUAUUCCUGUUUAUUUACUGCAAAGUGGAAAGCCUUUCUCUAACCCUUAUGAAGUAGGCAUGUAAGGCCUGAGUAUAGAAAAGUGUACAUCUAGUAUAGAAAAGUGGGCAUACAGCAGCUGUACCGUGGAACACUUGGGUAAAGAUAGUUUUCUAUUUUUUUUUGGCAAUGUGCCAAAACGUUUCCCAACCCUUUGGAAGAUGUGGGGCAGGCGUAUGAUGCGGGUGUGUUCCAUCUAGUACAGCUGUGGUGGAUGGCUAUACAAACUGUCCUUAUAUUCUAAACUGCAAAAGUUAAAGCUACCCUAAAAAAGUGACUGCUAUAAUGGUAUCUCUCUUUUNNNNNNNNNNNNNNNNNNNNNNNNNGGGGGGUGAGAAACCGCAACCAUGGUUUUCUCAGUGGGUACGACAGAGCCACGAAGGCAAGCCGUAAUCACCGGAAACCAAAGGAGAUAGAUAAACAAAUAUAGAUGCUGAUAUGAAAAGUCUACAGUAGCUACAACAGAUAAAUAAAAAGCAAUAAACAAACCUGCUACUGUAUAGAUAACAAUGCAAAGAAUGCCUCAAAGUACUGAAUAGAAACUGUACCCAAUCUGUGCCUGCUGUAUUGGUCCGCAGACCUCAAGCGCUCCCUGUCACUAACUGCACCGACCUGAUCCAUCCGCCCAGCAGGACGACCUAUCCGGAUAAGUACACCUCCGAUCGGUGGCCAAACAGAUCCGGUGUCAUGAAUACCCCCAAGUGCCGUGACUAAGUCAUGCUGGUAUGUUCAAACAAAAACAAACCUGGCUAAAGCCGGUGCUUAGGCCGAAGCCAACAACGAGGGCGUACAAUGCCAAACUGAAAUAGAAGCUAGGGCGUACAACGCCGAACCUCGAUCAACCAGAUCGAAACACACGACAAGAGAGUCGAUGUGUUGCCUGGACCCAAGGUCCACAGGGAUACUGAAAUACAAAUGCAACCUGCUCUAUAUGUCUAUCAAUCACUAACCAAUGCAGUCAACGAAAUACGAUAACCAAACGAUAACCAAACAACUGACAUGUAGAGCUAAAAUACUGGAAUAGAAAAACAGGAGAAGGAAGUGAAACGCUCUCACCGACUACCAGCUCGAAGCACCCACCUGUCACUGUCGCGUUGGAACACUGGGUACGUACAAGUCGAUCGGACCUAAGAAGAUCCAGCAAGUCAGAAUACAAACCACUAACCCAAAGCACGAGACUCACAAACCCCCACACAGGAUCCCCGUAAUCGGUUUCCCAAAACCGAUUACCGUAACUCACCGGAAGUCCCGAAAACCACACCGGGACGUCGUCGGGACCCACUAAGUGUCCCGAACUCACCGACUCGUGCCACGAGUCACCCGCUGCCCCAAAGCACUCCAAUUUGGAUGCCUUGGCAGCGAACACGAGGUAACACAACCAUACGAUCAUCGCCGGAUAAUCGUACGAAUCCGGAUUCCCAGAAGUGUCUAUUUCGACACCGGAACCCUCCGUCGCUCACCUAUCAUCAUCGAACGCACAAAAUGAUGAUGGUGACCAGCCAACAAGGCUCAGCGACAAAACACGAAGCAACCAAACACCAUCGGAAAGAAUCCGAACCGAAACCGCGUUCUUUCGGCGAAUUUUGCCGAAAAACGUGCCGGAAUCGACUUUUCGAUUUCCGCAAAGACUAUUGGGUCAUGGACAAUCAGUCCAGAGGUCAAACACACUCAUACACAUUGCCCACAGUAGCCACAAGGAGCACAAAUGCAUAAAAGACCCUCAAUUUACAUAAAAUCCUAUUAUUUCAUGUAAAUUGAGCGAUCAAGUGGCUCGUUCACGUAAACCAAGGACUCCAAAGGUCCGCCGAGACACAUACUGACAGGUCUCGACGUGCCGGAGGCCAUGCUCAUGAUUCGGAGCACAACAGCUCGCUGUGGGAAGUGCGGGAGCAACCCGAAGGUUCAGCGAAUAGCGCGCAGUCGGGGAAGAUCGCGCCAACCAGGGCUAACCGGACACUUCUGAUCCAAAGUGAGGUGAGCACUGUGAUCAGCACUGACCAACGAUCACCGUGCUCACCUCCGGAGGCAUCAGGACAGCCUCGGAUCGCCGGAUAAGCGUGCGCAAACCCAAAACAGCAGCCAAACAGGCUCGAUAGGGUCGACACCGCCGAAACAGCGGAACGGAGUCUCCCCGACAGAAUCUAAGGUGAGCACGAUGAUCAGCAACUUGCCAGGAUCAUCGUGCUCCCUUCCGUAGAGAUCAGGGAAGCUCGGGAAGCCCAAAACAAGAAACCCACUCAAAUAAGCCGUAUUUCGGGCUUAGCCGGAGCAACCUUGCUCCGGCCGGCUUCCGGCGGCACGGCGGUGCGCGCGGGGGCCAGGGAUGGGUGCGGGGGAGGUGAGGAACACCGUGCUCACCUCGGUUGGUGACGAGAAGCGGCGGCGGCGUCGGCGGAGCAACCCGAGCCCGCACCAGUUAGAACUCGGAUUCCAGCGAAGCUGCGACCACGGCGGCGGCCGGGGAUCCUCGGGGACGACGGCGACAGGUCCCCAACGGCCGGAGGAGGAGGAAGGAGGUGGCGGGCGACAGCGGCGGUGGCCCGCGGCUCAGGUGUGGCCGCCCGAGCUUGGCUCGGUCAGCAGGCUGGGGCGGCGGCGCCCAAGGCACGCGGCGGCGGCGACGACCCGCAGAGGCGGUGGCGACCGGCCGGGGAGGGUCGCCAGGCUCCGGGGACGGCGGCGGGAGCGAUCUUAGGCGGUGGCGGCGCGUGGGCAGCUGUUGCAACCCAGCUCGGCCUGAGCUCGGCCUAGCUGGCCGCAAGCAGCAGUGGCGGCGAUGGCAGCGCUCGGCGACGGUUCGGGGCGGCGGGGCCGGCGGCCAGAGGUCGGGGAAGGGUGGAGGCGGCCGAGAGGGUGGGUUCGAGUGAUCCUCCUUAGCUCGGGUCCAUGAUGGUGGAGAGGAAAGUGGAAACAAGAGAGGGAGAGGAAGGAAAAGAGGCUGAGGUGGUGGUGGCUGGCCGGAGAUCAGUCGGCGGCGAUCAGGGGACAUGCGGCUAGGGCAGGGGAGCAGGGUGAAGGUGGCUGGGGGCGCAGGGAGAACUAGGGUUAGGGUUACAAAGUAUAAAGCCCUAGAAUACCUUAUAUACAUAAGGCAUUAAUCGCACGAAAGUCCCUCCAAACUCGGUAUUUCAAUCCGAGUCCCUCACAGUACGACUAAAACGCAUGAACGCCCCUCCACGUGCGAUCUCAUGCGAAACGGUACAUAAAAUAUCGCGACUUUCGCGAAAAUACCGUUUUGCCACUACCGACCUCUCCUCGAUCAACGCGCGAUCUCUGCAGAUCCGUCCGUCAGAUUCGCGAACGGAUCACACCAGUGCGAUCAGCACGACAGAGACAACAAAGCUGCGAUUUCGUUUCGUCUUGAUUGACCACGGAUUCACGACAAAAUCCACUUUCUUCGAAUAGAAGGAAACACACACAUAAAUACAUAUAAAACAUGUAUUUUUGGAUUUUCUCGAAAUCCGUGCGUCAAACUCAAAAUCCGUCAUCGUCAUUGGUUCUAGAACAGCUGACCCGGUCGAAACGAGCUAUUGGACUGCUAUGAACAGAGUCCGAUACGAGCCUGAAGCCAACUUCACACCGUGGCUUCUCCGAAAAAUCGAGUUACUAUUCACUUUAAGUGAAACUUGGAAAUCCCGUAGAAUUUCUGUUUUAACUCGUUUUCGCCCGAAACUUGACGAGUGCUUUUGUAAUUAAAUUACACACAAAAAUAUCGUCAACUGAGAGUUUAGCUACACUGCAAAAAUCUCAGUCCUUACAGCGGUAAAUUCCAUAGGCGAAUCCAUACGAAGUAUUGAAAUGAUGGUGUGGCUGUAUGACGGCUGGCUUCCCAUGGAGUGACUGUGAUUGUUAAUAUAUCGUUCCUUAUUGGGGAACGAGAAUAGCUUUCUGACGACUUUUCUCAGUAGGAAAGAAAACGAUAUAACUUCCUGCACCAGCUUCGGCAAAUUGCAAAUCUGAGGGUCGGCCACCUAUCCGUUGUGCAAGCAGACCAGCUACAGCAAUCUGUGAGCAGUCGUUAUCACUUUCGUUGGCAGCGAUGGUUACUUUUGCUGCACGAUUCACUAAGCCAUCAGUAUCUACAUGGUCAGGAGUACAGGGGAUGAAGCAGUAAGUGUUGCUGGGACGAGAGGAAUUAGUGGUAAACAUGAUAACUACUAAGGGAUAACGAAAUAAUUGUAAUCUAUGAAAAUAUAAUGUGGAGUGAAAGAGAUUUUAAGUAAGGCAGAUUUUCAGCAAGGUAAGUAUGUAAGGACUGGACUAUUUAUAGAUGUUUGUAUAUUUGCAAUGUGCCAAAGCCUUCCCUAUCCUAUGAAAUUAGCAGGUAUAUGGGUGUGCCCAUUAACACUAGAGAUGUACAUGUGACCCCUACAACUGUCCCAUUCUAUUCUAUUACUGCAAAAGCAAAGCCUAUCCUAUGGAAGUGUUACCUAUAUGGGUGUGCCUAUUAACACUACAGAUGUACCUGUGAUCUCUACAACUGUUCCAUUCUAUGCUAUAGCUGCAACAGCAAUGCCAACCCUAUACAAGUGGGCACUACAUAUGUAUCGUAGCACAGUCAUAGAUAUUCUGCUUUUUUACUGCAAAGUGGGAAAGCUUUCUCUACCCUAUGGAAGUGGCAUGUAAGGCCUAGUAUAGAAAAGUGUACAUCUAGUAUAGAAAAGUGGGCACUACACAUGUACCGUGGCACACUUGUAAAUAUUUCUAUUUUUUUCUGCAAUGUGCCAAAACUUUUCCAACCCUAUGAAAUUGGCAGCUAUAUGGGUGUGCCCAUUACCAGUACAGCUGUUCGGCUGAGCUAUACAACUGUCCCAUUAUAUUCUAUAACUGCAAAAGCAAAGCCUACCCUAAAAAAGUGACUGCUAUAUGGGUGUGCCCAUUAACACUACUGUUGUACCUAUGAGCUCUACAACUGUUCCAAUCUAUUUUAUUACUGCAAAAGCAAAACCUAUCCUAUGGAAGUGUUACCUA